UUAUUUCUCGUACUCAAAAGU
ensembl:piRNA 21ur-14462 ncRNA